rnacentral:lncRNA from 1 species
CUCCCCGGGCAAAUAUAGCAAAGACCUAGAUAGAACUAUAAAAAGAGGCUGCGAGAGUCCAAAGAGGAGAGUGGCCGCCCCUGUGCAUGGUGAGGAGAGGUUGGGGAAGUGGGAGCGCCAGCAGGCCUCAUGGAAGAGGGGGUGUGCAGCUGGACCCUGCCAGGUGAGUAGGAAGAAGUUUGUCAGAGAGAGGAGGUAGAAGCAUCUCCAAAAACAGGAAGCAGCAAGUGCAAAGAGACAGAGUCCUUGAGUCCACAUUCGGCAAAUGCUGAGGUUGGUGGCCCUAAAAGGCCCAGAAAAUCAAUCCACAUUCUUCUAAUACUGAUGUGGAUUUUAUUUAAAAUAGAAACACUUCCACCAAAUUAGUUAUGAAUCCCAGAAGAGAUUAUCUUAUUGCUAAAAUAAAUGUUCUUUUCUUAUUUCUUCCAAAAUGAUUUGAUGGUUAUUUUUCUGAAGCAUAUUUCUGAUUUCUCUUGAAAACAAGUGCCUUCAGAAAGUCCAUGUCAGCCAAGGAGAAACAACUCAAAAGUAGCCCAGGAUCACAACUAUUUAGCCCCACCAAGGAUCAAAUUCUUCAUAUUCUCUAAACUACCCCCCCAGCACAUGGAGUGAUUUCAGCUCUUCAAAGCCAGUAAAGAGAUAAGUUCAUUGAAACUCAAGAUGACAGGCACAGAGCUCAUUAUAUCUGGUUUCAUUUGUUCCUUCAGUUAUUCUCUGAGGACAGUGGACAGUGAAUGCAGCCAGACGUCUCUUUCAGAAGAGCACAAAUGGAGGAGGAAAUUUUGUUCAUAACUUUGCUGGGAGAAUGUUUGGCCAAAUGCAGUGGCCUGAGGCCAGAAAAUGCCAUUUUUUAUCUCCAGUGCAGACAGGCAGAGAGGAGGUGUAAUGGAUUUAGCAAGAUAAAGACUUGGACCCACAGAAAAAGAAACACACACACAUCCACAUGCACACGUGAUCCUCACGGAAAAUUAGACUUCACUUCCACCUCUUGAGGUGGGAAUUGUAGUCUUACUGAAAUUACAGAGACGAAGCUACGGUCAUAUUACACAAAGCUGUAUCUAUCAGUGAAGGGUGGCCUCUUGGGAAUGAACUAUUUAAACAACAAUUGCGUGUCCAGAAUUCAUGAUGUGAGCAGAUUUUUCCUGAAAGAGGCAACUUGGCCUGUUGGGAUCAGAACUGUUGCUUAUUUGAUUGUUUUCCUUUUGGUCUCAGACGCUGGGGUCUCAGUGUCAGCUGGAGACUGAAAACUUCAGCCUGCAGGGAGAGAUGGGACAGAGGUGGCCCUGAGGGCCUCUGAGUCCUGGCUCCAGGUGUCCCAUUCGUCGGCCCUUCCUGUGCUUGGCUAUGCAAGCCAAUCCAUUCUCUGCGAUUGCUUGAAAUUUGUAAAAAAGAAAGAGAAUGAGGCUUUGUCAUCAUUGUGAGCUUGAGUAAAUCAUUUCUCACUUCUAGACCUCGGGUUUCUCACUUGUUAAGAGGGUGGGGGUGGGAGACUAAGCAAAUCCUCAGGUUCUUAAAAUUUGUUGAUUUAAUUGAUCUGGAAAAGGGAUUUUUUCCACCAUUUUGGUUUAGGAAUAUUUUAUGGGGCCCAGGAUGCAGAGGUUCCUUGAGUUCCUCAGUGAAGGACCGCAGUGACUUCAUGGUUGGGGUGGCAGUUAACCUGAGCAGCAAAGACUGCUGGGUAGAGCUAGGCGCUGCUUUUCAGAACCAAAGGCUUCACCUAUUUGAAACUUGUAUUAUGGAGGCAUGUUACAGAGGAAAGAGCACAAGACUUAGAAUAAUUGUCCUAGAUUUGAGUCUAGCCACUAAACUAACUCACUGAGAUUGUGGCCAGGGCACACCCCAAUUUGGGGACUCAGUUUACUUGUGGGUGAAGUGAAUAUGGGAGACAGACUCCCAGGAGGCUCCAUGGUCCAUGCUCCCUGGUGUACCCACCCUUGUGGGAUCCCUUCCCUCCAGUGUGGGUGGCACCUGUGACUUGUUUCUAACCAACAGAAUAUGGCGAUGGUGGUGGACGUCAGUGUCAUGAUAUUAAUAUAUUCCAGCGGACUUGAACACCCAUCUUACUAGCCGACUUUUGCUGUCAACUGUCUCCCUUGCUGGCUUUGAUGGAGUAAGCUGCCAUAGAGAGAGGUCCUGGAGAAGAACUGAGGGUGGCCUCUGGCUGAGGGCCCACAAGAAGCUGAGGCCCUCAGGCCAACAACCCUCAAGGAACUGAAUUCUGUCAACAACCACAUGAUUUUGGAAGCAGAACCUUCCCCGGUCAAGCUGCAGAUAAGAUCCCCAGCCCUGACUGACUCCCGGAUUAAAGCACCGUAAGAGAAUCUAAAACAGAGGAAUCAGCUAAACUGUGCCUGGACUCCUGACCCACAGGAACUGUGAAAUAAUAAAUGUGCUGUUUAAAAGUACGAAGUUUGUGGUAAUUUGUUAUGCAGCAGUAGAUAAGUAACACAACAAAGCAGUUAUAACCUUCUGUACCUGACAUCCUGUGAGCAUGACAAUACUCUUCUUAUGAUACCAGCAUUACACAUGUAACAGAAACCACUCCAUUAUGACAUACACAAACAUAUUGUAAGCUGCUGUUACUAUGCUGGGUUGAGAAUUAUUCAUCUUUCUAGAACUCCUAGGGUACUUGUUCUGUAUUUAGAUUCUCAUUUAAUCAGGACUCAUUUCCAGGCUUCUUCCUGCUGAUUGUAAAUACCAUGCUCACACACACAGGUCCACUCACACACAGGCCCACACUCACACACACAGGUCCACACUCACACACACAGGCCCACACUCACACACACACAUCCACACUCACACACAGGCCCACACUCACACACACAGGUCCACUCUCACACACAGGCCCACACUCACACAGGCCCACGUUCACACACACAGGUCCACAUUCACACACAAGAUCCACACUCACACACACAGGUCCUGCAUCUCGCUGAAUUUAAUUAAGGAUCAACCUGAAAUAAAAU